AGAGUUUGAUCAUGGCUCAGAAUCAACGCUGGCGGCGUGCCUAACACAUGCAAGUCGAACGAGAAAGUGGAGCAAUCCAUGAGUAAAGUGGCGCACGGGUGAGUAACACGUGACUAACCUACCCUUGAGUGGGGGAUAACUUCGGGAAACCGAGGCUAAUACCGCAUAAUACCUACGGGUCAAAGGAGCAAUUCGCUUAAGGAGGGGGUCGCGGCAGAUUAGUUAGUUGGCGGGGUAAUGGCCCACCAAGACAAUGAUCUGUAUCCGGCCUGAGAGGGCGCACGGACACACUGGAACUGAAACACGGUCCAGACUCCUACGGGAGGCAGCAGUGGGGAAUUUUGCGCAAUGGGGGAAACCCUGACGCAGCAACGCCGCGUGGAGGAUGAAGUCCUUAGGGACGUAAACUCCUUUCGAUCGGGACGAUUAUGACGGUACCGAGAGAAGAAGCCCCGGCUAACUUCGUGCCAGCAGCCGCGGUAAUACGAGGGGGGCGAGCGUUGUUCGGAAUUAUUGGGCGUAAAGGGUGCGUAGGCGGUUUGGUAAGUCUGAUGUGAAAUCUAUGGGCUCAACUCAUAGUCUGCAUCGGAAACUGCCGGGCUUGAGUAUGGGAGAGGUGAGUGGAAUUUCCGGUGUAGCGGUGAAAUGCGUAGAUAUCGGAAGGAACACCUGUGGCGAAAGCGGCUCACUGGACCAUAACUGACGCUGAUGCACGAAAGCUAGGGGAGCAAACAGGAUUAGAUACCCUGGUAGUCCUAGCCCUAAACGAUGACUGCUUGGUGUGACGGGUACCCAAUCCCGCCGUGCCGUAGCUAACGCGUUAAGCAGUCCGCCUGGGGAGUACGGUCACAAGGCUGAGACUCAAAGGAAUUGACGGGGGCCCGCACAAGCGGUGGAGCAUGUGGUUUAAUUCGACGCAACGCGAAGAACCUUACCUGGGCUCGAAUGUUAUG
rnacentral:rRNA from 1 species